UUGAUGGAGAGUUUGAUCCUGGCUCAGGACGAACGCUGGCGGCGUGCUUAACACAUGCAAGUCGAGCGGAAAGGCC
rnacentral:rRNA from 1 species